AAAUUGAAGAGUUUGAUCAUGGCAGAUGAACGCUGGCGGCAGGCCUAACACAUGCAAGUCGAACGGUAACAGGAAGCGGCUUGCUGCUUCGCUGACAGUGGCGGACGGGUGGUAAUGUCUGGAAACGCUGCCUGAUGGAGGGAUAACUACUGGAAACGGUGGCUAAUGCCGCAUAACGUCGCAGGGCAAGAGGACCUUCGGGCCUCUUGCCGUCGAAUGUGCUUGGAUGGGAUUGAAAAGCUUGUUGGUGGUAACGGCUCACCAAGGCGACGAUCCUAGCUGGUCCUGAGAGGAUGACCAUACACUGGAACUGAGACACGGUCCGGGCGCUCCUACGGGGGGCAGCAGUGGGGAAUAUUGCUGGGCGCAAGCCUGAUGCAGCCAUGCCGCGUGUAUGAAGAAGGCCUUCGGGUUGUAAAAGUACUUUCAGCAGCGGGAGGGAAGGUGUUGUGGUUAAUAACCGCAGCGAUUGACGUUACCGCAGAAAACACCGGCUAACUCCGUGCCAGCAGCCGCGGUAAUACGGAGGGUGCGAAGCGUUAAUCCGGAAUUACUGGGCGUGGCGCAGGCGGUCUGUCAAGUCGGAUGUGAAAUCCCGGGCUCAACACGGGAACUGCAUUCGAAACUGGCGAGCCCGAGGUCUUGUGGGGGGUAGAAUUCGGGUGUAGCGGUGUGCGUGAGAGAUCUGGGCCGGUGGCGGCGGCCUGGACAAGACUGACGCUCAGGUGCAGCGUGGGGAGCAAACAGGGUGAAUAUACUGGUGAUCCACGCCGUAAGCAGUAAUGCUGCGGAGGUUGUGCCCUUGAGGCGUGGCUUUACCGGAGCUAACGCGCGUUAGAAGUAGACCGCACGGGGAGUACGGCCGCCAGGUUAAAACUCAAAUGGUCGACGGGGCCCGCACAAGCGGUGGAGCAUGUGGUUUAAUUCGAUGCAACGCGCGAAGAACCUUACUGAUGUGACAUCACGGAAGUUUUCAGAGAUGAGAAUGUGCCUUCGGGAACCGUGAGACAGGUGCUGCAUGAAACGCAUCGUCAGCUCGUGUUGUGAAAUGUUGGGUUAAAUUUUAACGAGCGCAGCCUUAUCGCUGUUACGCCAUCGGUGGGUCGGGAACUCAAAGGAAGACUGCCAGUGAUAAACUGGGAGGAAGGUGGGGAUGACGUCAAAAGUCAUCAUGGCCUACGACGGGGCUACACACGUGCUUUACAAUGGCGCAUACAAAGAGAAACGACCUCGCGAGAGCGAAGGCGGACCUCAUAAGUGCACGUCAUGGUCCGGAUUGGAGUCUGCAACUCGACUCCAUGAAGUCGGAAUCGCUAGUAAUCGUGGAUCAGAAUGCCACGGUGAAUACGUUACGUUCCCGGGCGGCUGGACACGCCGCCCGUCACACCAUGGGAGUGGGUUGCCAAAGAAGUGGUAGCAACCUUCAGGAGGCGCUUACCACUUUGUGAUUCACUGACUGGGGUAAGUCGUAACAAGGUAACAAGUAGGGAACCUGCGGUUGGAUCACCUCACUU
rnacentral:rRNA from 1 species